rnacentral:rRNA from 1 species
AUUGAACGCUGGCGGCGUGCUUAACACAUGCAAGUCGAUCGGUAACAGGUGUAGCAAUACAUGCUGACGAGAGGCGGACGGGUGAGUAAUGCUUGGGAAUCUGCCUAUUAGUGGGGGACAACCCGGGGAAACGUCGGGCUAAUACCGCAUACGCUCUACGGAGGAAAGCCGGGGACCGCAAGGCCUGGCGCUAAUAGAUGAGCCCAAGUCGGAUUAGCUAGUUGGUAGGGUAACGGCCUACCAAGGCGACAAUCCGUAGCUGGUCUGAGAGGACGACCAGCCACACCGGAACUGAGACACGGUCCGGACUCCUACGGGAGGGCAGCAGUGGGGAAUAUUGGACAAUGGGCGCAAGCCUGAUCCAGCCAUGCCGCGUGCGGGAUGAAGGCCU